rnacentral:rRNA from 1 species
CAAUAGCGUAUAUUAAAGUUGUUGCAGUUAAAAAGCUCGUAGUUGGAUUUCUGGGAGAGUGCCAAUGUCCGCCGCGUGCGUGUUGCAGCGGCGCUCUUCCAUCCUUCUGUUAACCUUUCUGGUAUUCACUUACUGGUUUGGGGCUCAGAUAUUUUACCUUGAGAAAAUUAGAGUGUUUCAGGCAGGCUUGCGCCCGAAUACAUUAGCAUGGAAUAAUAGAAUAGGACUUUGGUCUCCUUUGUUGGUUUGAGGGACUAGAGUAAUGAUUAAUAGGGAUAGUCGGGGGCAUCAGUAUUCAAUUGUCAGAGGUGAAAUUCUUGGAUUUAUUGAAGACUAACUACUGCGAAAGCAUUUGCCAAGGAUGUUUUCAUUAAUCAGGGAACGAAAGUUAGGGGAUCGAAGACGAUCAGAUACCGUCGUAGUCUUAACCGUAAACUAUGCCGACUGGGGAUCGG